ensembl:lncRNA
AGACCGGCCUUGCUGCUCCUGCCCUUCGGCCUCGGACCGUCGGAACAUCGUGCAACGGGACUGCUGCCGGAUCCUGGUGUCACCAGGAACUUUACCUGACUGCCAUGACUUUUCACACAUCAGUGAGAGUGGUUUGAUGGCUACAUUAACGAGAUUCCUCAGGACUCUGGGACACAUCGGAAUCUAUAGACUGAUGAAUGUCCAGGUUCUUCAAGUGGUUGCCAACCGGAUCUUCAUUUUUGUAUGACUACGUGCUGUUGAUUAAAGCAGUAAACUGGGGAUGAAAGUGAAUCUGUAUGUCUGAAUUUUCUCACUCCAAAAAGGCUCUUAAAUGAAGCUUCAGAAAGAAGACACAGCUCUGCAAUUUCUCAAACUGCAUCAUCAGCUAGUACUCAGCUUGUACAUCUGCUAUAAUCCAUUCCUGUAAGAGAACCUUUGAGCAACAUAAAGAACUUCAGACUCAGCAGAAGUUCCUGCUUGAAGAUCUACAGGCUGCUGAAAACAAAGUUUCCAUCUUAGCUGCUGUUCUGCAGACACUGGAAGAAGUUUUGUAAAUUGGAACCAGAUUGUAAAUUGGAACCAGAACUGAAAAGUGAUACUAUAAUGAAUUUUAUUUGAUCAGUUUUUAGACAAAUAGCUUCCUCCUUAGCAUGUUUGGUCUUUUUUUCUGAUGUGAUUUAUUAGCUCCUAACAAGGGAAGAAAAAAUGUAAGCAAAACAGCAGACUGAGCUGCUAAGAAAGACAAAAUUCAAGUGCACUAAUCAACUGAACAUUUUUUUUUAAUGAGAUGUAACAAAAAUGCAGAAAAGUGAAAUGAAAUGACAUAGAGUUAGCACUGUGCCCAUAGUACCUUGACCAUUAGUUCAUGAUGAAUACCAGAUAGUUCAAUGACUUCUAAGCAAACUAUGGUUUGUUCUGAUCUUACCAUAUGCACAUACCAUACCACCAAGAACAUUGAAGUUUACCUUAAUGGAUUUUGUUCUUGUAGCCUGAAUAAAGAUGUCAAAGAUUCAGUGAAUUUGUAGAUUGGAUCAGCUGCUAAUCACACCACAUCAGAAUUCAAAUUAUCCACAGAGAAGGAGAAAAAAAGAACAAGGAAUUGUUGAUUUUUGUGAUACACAUACAUGUAUAUACACAAAAUCAAAUUAUACCAUACUUAAGGUGUCAUUUCUUUGUGUGGAUAUCCACUUUCUGCCAUUCACACAAUAUUUUGGGAAAGGCACACUGUUAGAGGUAUACAUAACUAGUCUGAAAACAAUGUGUCUUACAAAAUGUUACAGUCUGCAAGUGCUGGAGCAUGCCUGAAAAGGUUAACUGAUGCUGCCUUGUUCUGAGGAAUCAGUACUGGACAGGCAAAUAAAUAAAUAAAUAAAUAAUUUUUUUUAAAAAAAAAAAGGCCCACUAUGCACUAUUGCAGGGAUUGGUAUGGAAAUUAUGAGUGCAAACAGCACAUAAAGAACAAUUGGGUAUGAAAGAUAAGCACUGGAUAAAUAGAAGAAAAGUGAUUGUGUCUGUGCAAUAUGUUGAAAAUAAAUACAGAACAUGUAAAUAUAUGCAAUAUAAUAUGAUU